GUUCGCUCUGCAAACGGAAAGAGAGAGAUGGAAACGGCUACAAAGAGGCAUCCAAAAGCUCAUGGGGAAGCACUGUGCUAAGGGGGUCGAGGCUGAUGCAAAAGGCUGGCUCUGUGUCAGUUGUAGGACAGCCAACUCUGGAUGGUUUCAAAACACAUCUCCUCUUGGGAGAGACGGCCUUCCCCUGGCCGUGUGUUACCUGCUGAGCAGAUCCUUCAGAAGUGUAUUGAGGAACUGUUACUUCCUUCCCAUUUCGGCAAACUAUGAAUCCUGUACGAAUUUAGAGAUUUGCAGACUGCUGCGUGCGUGGGCCAAGCGCUGUCACUGAGAGAAGUGCUGGGCAGGAGGGGCAGGAAGCGGCAGAGCCCCAGAUAAUGGACAGCUGGCAGCUCAGUCCUUAGAUCAGGGCCUGCUGAGGUGCCCCUAGCUCUGCGCACCUGAGGCAGGGAGGGCAAUCUGACCACCGCAGAGCUGGAGCGGGGAGCUCUGUCAAGUGCUGAGGAUAAGCGGAGACAGAACCUGACUGCACUAAUGGAAGGAGCCUUCUGUGCAUGAAACUGAGGAGCAGGACCAAAGACCCGGGAGGGAACUCCAGAUUAUGCAGUUAACAGAUCAGACUGCUGCAGAGUGGGACAUGAGUUUUGUUGGCCUCCUUUUGCACUUACGAGCCACAUCUAUAUGUAUUUCGUGUUACAAGUAUCCUAAACCAACACUGAUACUUCAUACAAAGUAUAAGAGCUUCCCUGGCUAAGCAAAAACGUUGGGAGUGCUGAGGCGGCUAGGUCUUCAUCCCCACCCAGUGAGAGGGAAGGAGGGACACGGGGUGGACAGGACCCUUGAAUGCUGUUACGCAAGAGAGACCUAUCUACAGAGAAGACUGGUUUGCAUCAUGGAAAAGGUGCUGGUUGGUUCUGAUGUCGUCCUUCCAAUGCUCCAUCGGGAAUCCAGAGUCCUUCAGGAGAAACUGGAUAGACGAGACCUGAUAUUUCUCAUGAGGGACACGCAUAGAAACAGUCCUUUCCAGACUUUUUCUCUUGAAAAUUAGAACCGCCAAGAUUAGAAAGCCUAGAACUCCGAAUAUAGAGCCAAAGAGAAUUGCUUGGUGGUUAUCUGAAAAAGGGAAAAGGAAAACAAAUGAGAAUGUGAUAUUCUGCCUUCAGGGAGGGGAAAAAAGAAACCACUAGACUAUAGGAGUUCACCAAAAUCCCUUGUGCUAAAUGUCGGAACAGCUGGCUGAAGUCCAGUGCAAUGCAGUAAAAAGUAGUGAUAAUGUGUAAAUGAUAUGAACCUACAGAGUUGAUCUACAACUUCAAUGCUCACAGCUUCAACAAGAAGCUUAAAAACAUUUUUGAGAUUUUGUCUCAACCUUCCAAAGAAGAAGAAGAAGAAGAAUUGCAUUUACAGAGAUCCAGGUCAGGAAAUUAAGCUUCAAGAGCCUAUGGCUGUUAAUAGAAGGAGUUUGCAUUCAUACAAAGACAAGUGUAUGGUAUAUAUGAGGGGAGCAAAUGCACACAAGGUAAAGACAAAUCUCUACAACACUGUCUUCCAAAGUUACACUUCCUGGAGCGGCUAUAUGCUUGCGCCUGCUCUUGUUCCACUUGCUAAGUUUUUUUUCCGGGAGUUGUUUCUUGCUCCCUUGCUGCAUGCUGCUGUGUAAAGAGAAGCUGCUGUGGCAGUGGUAAGGCCUUGCACUUGGAUUAUAAUUAGAAGCAUAUCAGAAUAAUUAUUAGCAGAGUGUUUCCAUGGGGACUUUAAUUAAAGAAAACAAUUCUGAAAGCAACACUGUUCAAGUCUAACAGUUUGAAAUUUCAAAUACAAAUUGGGAUUUUGCAAAAUCAGUGGUGGUUUUCUUUAAGUGACUUCCCACACCCCCCUCCUCCCUGGGUUUUUUCCACCUUUUUCUUAAUUACUUCAUUUUAAUUUCUCCAAUUAUUGAGACAGUAACAUUGAGGGCUAUUAACAAAACAAAACAAAACAAAACAAAACAACCUCCCCCCCCCCUUAAUGAAUCUGUAUUAUGGAAGGUAUGAACAGGUAAGUUAUACCAAGUUAAAGAGAAUUUACCACACACAAGCUGCUCUGUGGUAACUGAUUCACAUAUUCAUCCUAGCCCAUGGUAAAUGGAAGCUGAUCAAUCAUAAUUUAGCAGUUGUUGCAUUCAGAAUUGAACUGUCCUAGUUUAGCUUCCCUUUGCCACAAGAUAGAAUGGACAUACGAAACAGUUACUGAAGAGCAGAGCAGCUGAUGCCUGGUAACUGCCCUCCUUAGCCUUUUACUCUGGUACAAUUUGUUCAUCUGUCCACACCCAGACCUUGGGUUUGAUCUGAUGAUUGGCAGGCAUCCAGAGCAGAUAUACUGAACAGGGUGCUAGGAUAACAUACUUUUGGAGGCUGGUAUUAAUCAAAGGUAUCCAGAACGAGUAGAAGCUUCUUAAUGUCGGAGCACUCAUCACUUGGAAUAGAGAGCCGGAGGUCAAACGCUUGCAGAGCGCAGUGCUCAGGUCAGUGUUUAAAAUGGGGUGACUGAACAGAAAAAAGCCUUUCUGCUGCUGUGACUACCCAUUUAUCCCACAAUAAACGAUCUGUGGAAACCCUCAGACUGCAGAAAGGAAAGUUGCAGGAUUUCCAAAGCAUUCCCUUCUUUCCACCAUCACCACCGUCACUGUUUUGCUUGGCCUAAGCUCUAGCCAACUGUCUUUCAUCCAGAUGCUGAUUUUUGGCUAGUCCAAGGGAUUGUGACAGAAAUGCUGGUUGUGUUGAAGAUAAAGGGUGACACACAGCUGGGUCCUGUCUGCCUGUGACACGCGUUUGAGAUCAUCAUGUCAGACUGUUUCACCCAACCUUAAAAAAGGAGGGAGUGGGAAUGCACUGAGGACUGCUCUGGUGGUGGAGGAGCAUUUGCUUGCCAGUUUGGCUCGUCCAACACUCCUCCCUAAGGUGAGACAGGGUCCUGCUGCAAGCCAUCUGGGAGGGAAGGUGUGGCCAUGCUUUCCUGACCACGUGACUGGAGGUGGCCAUGCCUCAUCUGUUACCAGACCUGGUACAGAGGGUGGUCCUACACUUGGUGGUUUGGAGGUGGCCCCUGAGUCAUUUCGUUCACAUGUUUAUGGCACGAAGGCCCUUAAUCACUCUGCUUGAUCCAGUGGAUGCUCAUGAGGCAGGAGUCUAUUUCCUUGAUGUAGGAGAGGGAAAUACCUGCUCUCAUCACUCAGUUCAGUGACAUCAGGUAUGACAAGGAGCUGUUCUCCCUCUAAAAUCAGGUGAUCAUACUAACUACCCUUGUUGGAAAAUACAGUUUGUCAAAAGCUGUUCUUGAACCCUGCAGUUCAAAUCUGUUAAGUCAGACGUUAAACUGGUUUAACAGGAGUGCAUAUCACAAACCAUUGCACAAUUAGAAACAGCAGGAAUGAGGUUGGUCCAUUUUCCCAAAUCACUCUGAAGAGACCUGCCCCUAGGAAGAAAGAAGGUGUCCAGGUUGGAACGGACAGGUGAAAGCAGAACUGCACGGGGUAAAGACGGGAAUAAAAUGCAGGGGUGCUCAGGAAUAUUAGUACCAGAGGGCAUUCACUGGAGAAGUGUGAGAGGAAGCUUGCAUGUAGUUCGUACAUUAUGCUGCCUUGGCUACAGUAUCCUGCUGCCUGUGGGUAAGCAGUGCUGUCAGCCUCAACUUCCCUGAGGAUGGAAAAGGACCAUUUUUGACUUGAAUAAAAAAUGAAAUAAAAUUCAGAGCUCUGGUUAGUAGGAAAGUUGUUGCUGUAUAGAGAAAGGCAAACGAACCAAAAACUUUCUGCACCUUAUUCUUCUUUUCCCCAAAAAAUAUAUACUGAAAGAUA